CUUGAUCACUAGUCCUAGAUUAUAUUGACCAAGAACACUCAGUUCUUGUCUUUAUCUUCUCUUUAUAUGCUUUAAUGAGAGAAAAAACAAUCUGUCACUUUUUGGAAUGGCUAACCUGCGUUUUGUUGUUCUCACAGUAUGGUAAUAUGUAUCUUGUUGCCAUUAGUAGUUCUAGUAAUUUUGUUGUACGCUUCUGUUGACUGUACCCUGAACUAUUCUUUUGUGGCAUUUGUUACUUUGCUCAUACACACACAGUGUUUCCUGUAUUUCUGUAAACUCAUGGUUUCAGUUUCUGAAUCUGCUCCACUGUCAUAUCUGUCUUAUAUGAAAAUUAAUGACUGUUUUCUCUCUGCCACACAGAAAUUACCACUUCCUUCUGCACUGGGAGAGUUGCCAUCUCUUCUGUGGGCAGAGCAUAAGGAUGAUGUGGGCUUGGUACAUUGUCCUCCUUAUGAAGCGAAACUAAAACUUUUGCACCCUGUGUUUGUUAAACAAUAUACACUCUCUGAACCAAAGUUACAGGGAAUAGACAAAAUCUUGACCUCCCUGUUACAACAGGGAGUGGUCAAGCCGUGUGUAAGUUCAUAUAACACACCUGUUAAUCCAGUCCCCAAACCGGAUGGCACUUGGCUCUUUACUCAAGACCUAAGAAAAAUAAAUUAUGUUGUGGUUCCUGUCACACCUGUUGUACCCGAUGUGGCCUCUAUCACCACUUCCACUUGAUCAUAUGCACUUCUCGGUGAUUGGCUUGUGUUCUGCCUUUUUCAGUGUUCCUGUAGAAGAGCAGACACAGACUCUUUUUGCCUUCACGCACAGGGGAUGGCAGUACACAUGGACACAUCUGCCACAAGGAUUCAUUGACUCCCAUGCGUUUUUUCCGCUGUGGUAAAGGAUGCACUCUGUGAUCUCGCUCUCCCUAUGGCUCUGUUGUCUUGCAGUAUGCAGAUGAUCUCCUGGUCUCCGCGGCCUCUAAGGACCUCUGUGAACAGGCUUCCCUCUGCCUUCUGCGUCAUCUGGCUAAAUAGGGAUUCAAGGUAUCCAGAACUAAACUUCAGUUUUGUAGAACCACUUUGAAAUAUGUAGGGUUCGAACUUUCUCAAGGCAGCAAAAGGCUCUCUAAAUAUUGUGUACAAGUUUUUCUUAACAAAUGGUGUCCCUCCACAAAGCAUACUCUAAUGGCUUUCCUGGGAAUGAUCAACUACUGCCGACAAUGGAUACCUGGUUGCUCUUACCACAACAAGUGUCUCCGCUCUGCGAUCUCACCCAAUGAUCCAAUGCAGCACCCACUAACGUGGACACCUGAGAUGAAUGAGGUGUAUGAGGCUCUGCGGGCAGCUCUGAGUGACUGCUCAGCGAAAAUUAGGAUAUGAAACUAUCCUUUGUUUUACUACUAACUUAGACAUCAAAGCUACUUCCUCUUUUGAAUCUUUAUGUCAUGCCCUUGCUCGCUUUAUUAAAGCACAAGACGACACACUGCACGACACCACACAUGAUUGCUGUUCUGAGAUCAUUCACUCGACUAGUAUACGCCCAGAUCUGUCUUCCACUCCUUUAGAUAGGGGCCGCUGAACUCUUCGCCCUGACUCGCGCAUGUGUCCUUUCUGAAGGCAAAGAUGUCACGAUUUAUACCGACUCCCGAUACGCUUUUGGUAUUGCACAUGAUUUUGCCGCAUCUGGCAAUCCCGUGGUUUCUGUUCGGCUGAAGGGAAACCCAUCUCUCAUUCGUCGUUAGUUCAAGAUCUUAUCACUGCCUGUCAUCUUCCUCGCUCCCUGGAUAUUGUCAAAACAAAAGCCCGUUCCCACGACAAUACCACAGAGGCUAAAGGCAAUUCCCAUCACUCAACGCUCCUAUUAACACCUGUCUCCUUUCCUCCGCUCUCAUUCCUGAUUUCUGCCUUUUUGGCAAUCACACAAUGCCUAUGUGGCCUCUGAUGGCCUUUGGUACAGUGCGGAUGGUCGCUUAUGCCUUCCUUCUUACUGCGUCCCUUUUCCACGGUGUUACACAUCGCGCUCGAAGAGGGGUGAAGGAGGAUAUAAACAGAUUUUUUUUGUAUAGCCUAUUUAAACAGCAUAAUAGACUAAAUUUUUUCCAGGUGUCUGAUCUGUGCCCAGAACAACAUUACUAGAAGCGCAGCGAAACAUGAAAGCCUCACACUGCCUACUGCUCCAUUCUCUGAAUGGCAGAUUGACUUCACACACAUGCCACCCCGUGGACCAUUUGAAUAUCUUCUGGUUCUCAAGAUGGGUUGAAGCUUUCCCUUGUCAGCAAGAAAAUGUUACGGUCGUCACACGUAUCUUAUCAAAAGAAAUUGUACCGCUAUACGGUGUUCCUCACGUUAUUGAUUCAGACAAAGGAACCCUAUUCAUUGCAAAGGUAACGCAGGAUUUAUGCAAAUACUUAUCCUUGCCAGGACAAUACUUAUCCUUGUCCUGGCGUUUCCACAUUCCCAUUAAUAGUUCCCUGGCAUUGUAGAAAGAACCAACCGGACGCUCAAGGACAAAUUGACUAAAGCCAUACAGGCUACAGGUAACAAAAAUUGGGUAGACUUGCUACCCGCAGUCCUUGCUGAAAUGAGAAUGACUCAGUGAAAAGACGUCUGCUUAUCAACACACGAAAUUAUUUUAGGGCGUCCAUUUCCAACGCCUUGGAGAAAAGGUAAAGCAGCAAUAGGUACAACUGAUUUGGAUGUGCACAUCACUGAGUAUUCUGCUGCCCUGAUCAAUACAUUAUCAAAACAUUAUGAACUAAUUUCUAAAUCUACACCUGUCAUUUCUCUAGCACCAACCCAUCCUUUUCGGGUGGGGACAUGGUUUUGAUUAAAUCUCUAAAACCUAAGCCAUUGGGUGAAUGUAAGUACGAAGGGCCAGCAGAAAUAGUUGCAAUCACACGCACAGGUGUGUUAACUGAUCUUUUUCCACAGUGGAUCCACGCUACCAGAGUCAAGAAAUGUCCCAUGGGAGGUGACCCCGUUUCAAAAGAAUUAAUUUGCGUUCCUUGCAUAUCACUAUUUUUCUUUAUGUUGCAGGAGAAUAGCCUCUCGUACCGCAACCCAGGAACAGCUUCUCAGACCUUCUGGUGCCGACUCUUUGGCUAUACUUAACACUGCACUCAACACUUAACACUCAACACUCAACACUCCCUUGUCCUGGUGAUCGUCAGCCUUGGGGCAGGGGUUCUCGCCCAGGCUCAUCCCUACGACAACACCUUCUGGUUAUAUACUCUUUUUGGUCAUUGGGCACCAUACGUUUCCUUGAUAAUCCCGAUUGUCGUUGUUGUCCUGCUUUUGUGCCUUUUUGGACCAUGCAUUGUUCAAUGUAUCCAGCAAUCAUUUACCAGUAUGCUUUCUGAUUAUCAAUCUGUCCCUCGUGUACCUGAAUAUUAUCCUAUUCCCAUGCGACAUGUUUGAUUGUUUUAAAUUGUGAUUUAUCCAUUAAUAGUUUAUCAUGGAUAAAAGAGGAAAAUUGUGGGAAUAAUCUGUACAUAUAUGUUCUGUAUACAACCUUUGUUCUGAACAUUAGGUUUUCAUCUUCUGAUACAUAUUGUAAGAUAUCCUUGAUCACUAGUCCUAGAUGAGAUUGACCCAGAACUCUCAGUUCUUGUCUUUAUCUUCUCUUUAUAUGCUUUAAUGAGAGAAAAAACAAUCUGUCACUUUUUGGAAUGGCUAACCUGCGUUUUGUUGUUCUCACAGUAUGGUAAUAUGUAUCUUGUUGUCAUUAGUAGUUCUAGUAAUUUUGUUGUACGCUUCUGUUGACUGUACCCUGAACUAUCCUUUUGUGGCAUUUGUUACUUUGCUCGUACAAACACAGUGUUUCCUGUAUUUCUGUUUUAGGCUUAUCUUUUGCAGGCUCAACAUGAACUUGUGGCGUGGUCCCCCCCUAACUUGCUCUUCUGUACACACACACGGACACACACACACACACACACAUACACACACACACACCCCUGGCAGCCCUCCCUUUAUUUCUCCAUCUCUUUGGAAGUAUAUCUUCGUGUGUGAGACAAUAAAAUUUGGAACUUCUGUCUGAGAGCUGCCUCGUGUGUUUUCAUUGAGACUUCCCCAAGUACUUGGUGGAGAGCAGAGAUCGAGAGAAAAGGCUGAAUUUGGGGGUAUCCUGUCUAUACGAAAUACAGAAGGUGACAGUUGUGGUCAGAGAACUUCAGCUCUCCUCCAUCUAAAACACAACGAUCUCAGAGUGCUGCUGAACCGUGUUCCAGCUACAGCAUGAAGACUGUUCUUUUGUGCUAUCUUCUUGUGUGCUGUGGAGCUGCAGAAGGUUUCACAGAGAAGUUGGUGGAUUUGGGACAAAAUGUGACUUUACAGUGUGAAGUGUGUUUAAAAGAUGCGAUCUGGUUCCUGAUGAAGCCGUCAGAACCUCCAGUGUAUAUUUUACGCUCUUUCUCAAGUAAAAUUCUGGUGCCACAUUACAGUAACCGGACCUUCAGCAAGAUUUUCUCACUGCAAUACAACAGCAGUUUAUUUAUACACAAUAUCAGUACUAAUGAAUUAGGAGUGUAUU